AUUGAACGCUGGCGGCAGGCCUAACACAUGCAAGUCGAACGAGUGGCGGACGGGUGAGUAAUGUCUGGGAAACUGCCUGAUGGAGGGGGAUAACUACUGGAAACGGUAGCUAAUACCGCAUACCAUCGGAUGUGCCCAGAUGGGCUUAGCUAGUAGGUGGGGUAAAGGCUCACCUAGGCGACGAUCCCUAGCUGGUCUGAGAGGAUGACCAGCCACACUGUGACUGGGACACGGUCCAGACUCCUACGGGAGGCAGCAGUGGGGGAUAUUGGACAAUGGGCUCAAGACUGAUGCAGCCAUGCAGCGUGUAUGAAGAAGGGCUUCGGGUUGUAAAGUACUUUCAGCGGGGAGGCGUUACCCGCAGAAGAAGCCCCUGCUAACUCCGUGCCAGUAGCCGCGGUAAUUC
rnacentral:rRNA from 1 species